AUGAACUCCAUUCAUUUUUUUUUAUUUUAUUUUUUUUAAUUUUUUACCCCCCUUUUUUUUUUUUUUCCGAACAUUACAGCGCUAAACAUAAAUAUAAAUACAGGAACCACGAACACAGAGAAAAAUAUUCACACAGAAACCGUCACAGUUUGUGGAUGCGGUGAUGAGCCCAGGACAAAAAGGCAAAUUUGGGCCGAAAAAGCGCUUUUUUAGGGCAUUUCCCCGAGGAAAAUCGGAAUUUUUCUCACCGGGAAUCGCUGAGGUUCGGGGGGAAUUGGUGGCCCCAAUUCUGCCCAGUUUGGCCCCAAUUCUGCCCCGGUUUUGCCCCAAUUUUUUCCCCAUUUUUCCCAUUUUCCCCUUUUUCUCCCCAUUUUCCCCAUCCCCGUUCCUUCCGGCCGAGCUGGUUCUUUUUGCCCUCUGUAAAUCGAAUUUUCGGGCGCUUUUUGCCCCGGUUUUUUGGGUUUUUUUUGCGGUUUUUUGCUGUCCGAGCGGAGCCGGAGCGGCGGGAAGAGGGAAAAGAGAGGAAAAAAGAGGAAAAAAGAGGAAAAAGAGGAAAAAAGGCCGGGCAGGAGGGAAGGGGGAGCCCGGUAAGUGUUCGCUUAUUGGUUCAGAUGCGCAGCUAAUGAUCCAUAACCCGAGGAGGAGGAUGAUGGUGGUGAUGAUGAUGAUGAUGCGGCGGGCGGGGGAAGGAGCGAGGCGGAGAGAGAGACAGAAAAAAUAAAUAAAAAAGUCAAAACACCAAAAAAAAUCUUUAAAAAUACAAAAAAAACCGGCGAUUUUUGCUCGAAAACAACGAAAAAAAAUCGGAUUUUUCCUCCCUCUCGAUGCCUCGCUUUGGUAUGGGUUUGGAAAACGGGAGUUAAAAUUUAAAAUUGGGGUUGAUUUGCGGGGAAAUGGUGAAAAAAUGAGGAGAAAAUGAGAAUAAAAUGAGGGGAAAUGUUUUAAAAACGCA
rnacentral:lncRNA from 1 species